ensembl:Mt_tRNA
GUGGCUAUAAUUUAGACAAAAUAUAAGAUUGUGAUUCUUACAACAAAGGUUAAAACCCUUUUAGCCACA